UGGUGUGUCGAUAGCGGCGGGGAAACACCUGAUACCAUCCCGAACUCAGCAGUUAAGCCCGCUUGCGCCGAAGGUAGUGCCAGGGUAACUUGGUGUGAGACUAGGAAGACGCACCUU
rfam:Bacteriovorax sp. BAL6_X ctg7180000028178, whole genome shotgun sequence.